rnacentral:rRNA from 1 species
CCUACGGGUGGGCAGCAGUGGGGAAUAUUGCACAAUGGGGGAAACCCUGAUGCAGCGACGCCGCGUGAGUGAAGAAGUAAUUCGUUAUGUAAAGCUCUAUCAGCAGGGAAGAAAAUGACGGUACCUGAGUAAGAAGCCCCGGCUAACUACGUGCCAGCAGCCGCGGUAAUACGUAGGGGGCAAGCGUUAUCCGGAUUUACUGGGUGUAAAGGGAGCGUAGACGGCAGUGCAAGUCUGGAGUGAAAACCCAAGGCUCAACCAUGGGACUGCUUUUGAAACUGUCAAACUAGAGUACGGGAGAGGUAAGAGGAAUUCCUAGUGUAGCGGUGAAAUGCGUAGAUAUUAGGAGGAACACCAGUGGCGAAGGCGUCUUACUGGACCGAAACUGACGUUGAGGCUCGAAAGCGUGGGGAGCAAACAGGAUUAGAUACCCCAGUAGUC